ACUCAAAGGAAUUGACGGGGACCCGCACAAGCGGUGGAGCACGUGGUUUAAUUCGACAGUAAGCGAGAAACCUUACCCAGACUUGACAUCUAGCGAAUCCUGCAGAGAUGCGGGAGUGCCUUCGGGAACGCUAAGACAGGUGUUGCAUGGUUGUCGUCAGCUCGUGCCGUGAGGUGUACGGUUAAGUCCGAUAACGAGCGCAACCCUUAUCCUGUGUUAAAUUAUUCACAGGAAACUGCCCGGGAUAACCGGGAGGAAGGUGGGGAUGACGUCAAAUCAGCAUGGCCCUUACGUCUGGGGCUACACACAUGCUACAAUGGGGAGUAACAAAGGGAUGCCAAACCGUAAGGUGGAGCAAAUCCCAUCAAACCUCCCCCCAGUUCGGAUUGAAGGCUGCAACUCGCCUUCAUGAAGCCGGAAUCGCUAGUAACCGUGUAUCAGCUAUGGCACGGUGAAUACGUUCUCGGGUCUUGUACACACCGCCCGU
rnacentral:rRNA from 1 species